rnacentral:rRNA from 1 species
UCCUGGCUUAGGAUGAACGCUAGCGACAGGCCUAACACAUGCAAGUCGAGGGGCAGCACAAGGAGCAAUCUGAGGUGGCGACCGGCGCACGGGUGAGUAACACGUAUGCAACCUGCCUGUAAGCGGGGAAUAACCCGUUGAAAGACGGACUAAUACCGCAUAAUACUAAAUUACUGCAUGGUAAUUUAUUUAAACAUUUAUGGCUUACAGAUGGGCAUGCGCAUGAUUAGCUAGUUGGAGAGGUAACGGCUCCCCAAGGCAACGAUCAUUAGGGGUUCUGAGAGGAAGGUCCCCCACACUGGUACUGAGACACGGACCAGACUCCUACGGGAGGCAGCAGUGAGGAAUAUUGGUCAAUGGACGAGAGUCUGAACCAGCCAAGUCGCGUGCAGGAAGAAUGUCCUAUGGAUUGUAAACUGCUUUUGCAGGGGAAUAAAGUGCAUCACGUGUGAUGUUUUGUAUGUACUCUGCGAAUAAGGAUCGGCUAACUCCGUGCCAGCCGCCGC